rnacentral:siRNA from 1 species
GAAGUUGCUUUACAUUUUACAGC